rnacentral:rRNA from 1 species
ACAAGUACCGUGAGGGAAAGUUGCAAAGCACUUUGAAGAGAGAGUUAAAGAGGACGUGAAACCGGUAAGGUGGAAACGGAUAGAGUCGGCGUAUCAUUCAAUUAUUCAGUUACAUUAUUUUUAUGUUGUGACCUCUGAGCUCCAGAUUGGGACAGAGGGAAUCAGCAUAAUUUUUUGUGGCGCAUUUACUUGAUUGGUGCUUGGGGAUGUUUGAGGCAGAUUUGUUUCCGUCGUUUUGAGGCCAGCUUGCUGGUACCCAAACGGUGUUAGCAUUUUUUGUCUCGGGCAUUUGAGUAUGGCUCACGUGUAUUUAUUGGACAGAUCUGAGUGUAAGUUACGGUCGCAUGCGACACGCGCUUUUCAAUUAGUUCGGUCCAGUUAAUGCUCUCGUACUCGUUCCCCAUGUAAAAGCCGGUCAUCUAUCCGACCCGUCUUGAAACACGGACCAAGGAGUUUAUCGUGUGCGCAAGUUUUUGGGUGUUAAAAACUUAAAAGCGAAAUGAAAGUAAAUGACUCUUUAGAGUCUGAUGUGCGAUCUUGUAAAAAAGUGUAGCAUGGCCCCAUUCUAACUGUUUACAGUAGGGUGGCGGAAGAGCGUACGCGGUGAGACCCGAAAGAUGGUGAACUAUUCCUGAGCAGGACGAAGCCAGAGGAAACUCUGGUGGAAGUCCGAAGCGGUUCUGACGUGCAAAUCGAUCGUCUGACUUGGGUAUAGGGGCGAAAGACUAAUCGAACCAUCUAGUAGCUGGUUCCUUCCGA